GUGCUCACUUGAGCAGCAUACGUAUAUAAGAUGAUUCAAGGAAUAUUUGUAUGGCCCCCGAGCGAGGAUGAGACUGAAAUCUGUAAAGCAUUCCAUGUUUUU
rnacentral:snRNA from 1 species